rnacentral:rRNA from 1 species
UACAGAGGUCUCAAGCGUUGUUCGGAUUCAUUGGGCGUAAAGGGUGUGUAGGUGGCGCCGUAAGUCGGGUGUGAAAUUUCGGAGCUUAACUCCGAAACUGCAUUCGAUACUGCGGUGCUUGAGGACUGGAGAGGAGACUGGAAUUCAUGGUGUAGCAGUGAAAUGCGUAGAUAUCGUAAGGAAGACCAGUGGCGAAGGCGGCUCUCUGGGACGGUACUGACGCUGAGACGCGAAAGCGUGGGGAGCGAACAGG